ACGGGAAUCCGGUGUGAAUCCGGGACUGACGCGCAACGGUAUGGGCCACCUCGGCUCGAGUCCGACCG
rnacentral:ncRNA from 2 species